rnacentral:rRNA from 1 species
AUGAACGCUGGCCGCGUGCCUAAUACAUGCAAGUCGAGCGAACGGACGAGAAGCUUGCUUUUCUGAUGUUAGCGGCGGACGGGUGAGUAACACGUGGAUAACCUACCUAUAAGACUGGGAUAACUUCGGGAAACCGGAGCUAAUACCGGAUAAUAUUUUGAACCGCAUGGUUCAAAAGUGAAAGACGGUCUUGCUGGCACUUAUAGAUGGAUCCGCGCUGCAUUAGCUAGUUGGUAAGGUAACGGCUUACCAAGGCAACGAUGCAUAGCCGACCUGAGAGGGUGAUCGGCCACACUGGAACUGAGACACGGUCCAGACUCCUACGGGAGGCAGCAGUAGGGAAUCUUCCGCAAUGGGCGAAAGCCUGACGGAGCAACGCCGCGUGAGUGAUGAAGGUCUUCGGAUCGUAAAACUCUGUUAUUAGGGAAGAACAUAUGUGUAAGUAACUGUGCACAUCUUGACGGUACCUAAUCAGAAAGCCACGGCUAACUACGUG